rnacentral:rRNA from 1 species
GCUCAAUAAACAAGUACAAGCUUAGCCUUAAAUUUUAUUUAAAUAAUCUACAAUUAAAAUAAAAACUUAAGAGUUACUCAAAGAGGGUACAGCCCCUUUGAAAAAGAAGACAACCUACAAAAAUGGGUAAUGUUCACAAUUAAUAAAAUUAUAUACAAACGUUGACCCAAAAGCAGCCAUCAUCAAAGAACGCGUCAAAGCCCAUGUAAUACAAACAUUAAGAUCCCGACAUAAAAACAAAACCCAUAUUUAACAUUGAGUCUAUUUAUAACCAUAUAAUUAAGUUAAUGCUAGAACUAGUAAUAAGAAUUAGAAAUUCUCUACCGCAUAAGUGUAAGUCAAUAUAACAAUUACUGACAUUCACCGAUAAGUAAAAUAAAAAUUAAACAAGGACACUUUACUCUUUAACUUAUCGUUAAUCCAACACAGGAGCGCGUACAGAAAGACAUAAAGAUAGAGAAGGAAUUCAGCAAACAUUAAGCUCCGCCUGUUUACCAAAAACAUCACCUCUAGCAAUCAAAACAUAUAUUAGAGGCAUCGCCUGCCCAGUGAUAUAUCAUUAAACGGCCGCGGUACCCUGACCGUGCUAAGGUAGCAUAAUCACUUGUCUUUUAAAUAAAGACUAGAAUGAACGGCCAAACGAGAACUUAACUGUCUCCUCUAUCUAGUCAACGAAACUGAUCUAUCAGUACAAAAGCUGAUAUAUGACUAUAAGACGAGAAGACCCUAUGAAGCUUUAAACCACGCAAACAACUGUUAUUUACAAAAACUUACAAUUAUGAUUAUGCUGCUUUUGGUUGGGGCGACCACGGAGAAAAUAAAACCUCCGAGACUACUAAAUCUAGACUGACAUGUCAAACAAUAAAAAUUUUACAACUUGACCCAAUUUAUUGACUAACGAAAUAAGUUACUCUAGGGAUAACAGCGCAAUCUUCUUCAAGAGCUCCUAUCGACAAGAAGGUUUACGACCUCGAUGUUGGAUCAGGAUAUCCUAACAGUGCAACCGCCGUUGAAGGUUUGUUUGUUCAACAAUUAAAAUCCU